ensembl:lincRNA
GCAGGGAGGAGCAGGAAGGUGCGGAGCGGCAAAGGCAGGGUUCCUUCCAGCCCCCGGCGACGCGUGCAGAGAAACAGCCAAGAACAGAGCCCUCAAAGUUUCCAGCACUCUGCUAAAAUUAGCCCCGUCUUGCGUGCUCGGCUCUAUAUUUAAACCAGCGGCCUGUCAGAGAGAGCGCUGUGCCGGCAGCACAUGCCAGCGGGUUUGGGGCCCAGGGUGGCAGGGGGCAGGCAGCUUCCCCGAGCACGAGCAAGCGAUCCGUCCGCACCGCAUCUGUCGCAGAGCGGCUCGGGGCGCAGGGCCACUCCCUCCGGCGGGAUGGAGGAAGAGACCGUGGCAGAGACAGAUGCGCCCACACGCAGACAGGGACACCAGCUGGGUGACCUCUGUCCUGCUGCUGAGUGAGCUGUGAGUUAAGGCAUCGCCACGGCAACUCCCUGCCUCACCUCCUGAGGUUGUGACCCCGCAGUCACUGGUGAAGCCUUAAUUAAAAGUGUAAUCUCCUUUUUGAGACAGGGUCUGGCUCAGUUGCCUUGCCUGGGCUCAAACUUGCCAUCCUCCUGUCUCAGCCUCCCAUCUGGCUGGGAUUACCUAACUGUACCACAGGCUCCUUGUUAAUUAAGGGUCCUCAUCGCUCUCCUAGGCCUCCAGGUCCCCAGGGCUUUUCCAUCCCUUCUUUCCAUCCCCCCCUCGGUAGGUAGGGAGGCUUCUCCGGGGAGAUCCCAGGCCAGGCUGGUGCUGGAGAGGAUGGGAGCUGCACGUGAUAGGCAGAGUCAGGAAGGCCUCCAGCAGGCCCUGGCACAAACCUUCCUGGGCAGCACACAGACCCCGAGACUGAUCAUCCCCACCCUCUCCUGGUCGCCAUGCAGGUUGCACACCUUCGUGUCCAGGCCCCCCAGGGGACUCCCACAAGUCCCCGGGAGAUAGGGGGACCCCCAGCGGUGCAGGGGUGCGAGUGGAGGGUCUCAACUGGGGCCAGAUGGUGGGGUGUCUGUGCAGAAGGUGGUGGCCACUAGCAUGAGGCCCCUUGCCUCCCCUCCCCCACAGACAAGACCCGCCCCAGCAGGCGCUCACAGCUACACCGCCUCCUCCGGCCCGUUAGGCAGCAGAUGCGUCCUGAGGUCACUGCCGCUCCUAGGGCUGUGAUUUUCAGAGACUGGGAAACUGAGGUUCCUUGAAGUUAAACAACUUGCUCAAGGCCACACAGCAAAGAGCAGCCAGGCUAAGAGGCAACGGGGCCUCCCUGCGCUCGCGGACCUGGGAGGGAGAGGGGCACAGAGGUGAGCUUCCGGGCAGGGCACACCACCUGACCUGGCCUCUUGAUCCAAGGGGGUGCUUAGUCCCAGGCUGAUCCCCAUUUUCCUGUCUGUGGGAGGGACCCAGAGCGUCCUUCCCACCCUCCAGGUCUCGGCCCUAGUGCCCCCGCCAGCCAGCGGCAGGUCAGCGGCGGGGGCUGGGAUGCGGUGGGAAGUGGGUACCCCUUCCCUGCCCCAGAGCACAGCUGUGUAGCAGGCUCGAGGAGGAGACAGAGGCUCCCAGAAUUCGAGAGGCUGACACCCCCUCUCACAGCCCCGCCCAGGGAGCUGCCAGGGACUCUAAAUUCAGUUGUUCGACUGGGACCCCCGCCUUGCCUGCUGGGGUGACCUUGGGCAAUGUGAUCAGCCUCCCUCCUGGGAUAGCUUCGCAGUGGAAGAGUGGAAUCUCAUUUCUGCCCGUCUGUGCUCCGGAGCGGUGGUCCGGCACUGUGCCCAGCACACAGUAGAUGCUUCCUGGCUGGUUGGUGAGCAGGCACAGCACACACAUGGGCUGCAGGUGUCCGCAGGGACAGUAGGAAGGAGGGAGGGAGGAAGGGCGAGGGGUUUAACAGGUACAGAGGAG